rnacentral:lncRNA from 1 species
CUAGGAGUCACGGAAGUGCUCGUGGCUCGGUGAGGAGGGAGCCUCGCUCUCAGGACUUGGGGUUUGCGGUGGGUGAAUGUGGUGUGGGAUGCGGGGCGGGUGUGUUUCAGCCCCAGCCGCGAAUGUGCCACGUGCACGGUAAGGAAAAUAAGUUAAAAAAAAGAGGACCGAGGAGAGCUGUGCCCGUGCCGCGCUCAGGAGUCCUGGAGAUUUUCCUUUCCCCAGACGCUGUAAUGUGAGGAAUCGGUAGAUUCUGUUUUGCUUUGUUUUUUCCUGUUAUCCUUGAUGAGAACCAGCCCGAUGCCCUGAGCACCUCGAAGGGGGUUUCGCGGAAGACGCGUGUUUCGAGGAGUCACGAAUGCGAAUUCCGGGUGUGCGGUUUUGGGGUAUCCGCACCCGGCGACUUCCCUUCCUGCCUGUGCGCGCGCGUCCGUGUCCCCAGCUCCCCCGAGCCCUACUGCUGUUCCCCACAGGCAUCUACCCACGGAUAAAGCCGCAGCCGCCCCGGCAGCCCGGAGACGAGGACACCCACGGCGGUGGAGGACACUGGAACAACGCGGACGAAGGGUACCAGCCGCCCCGGCCCAAGCCGCCUGCAGCAGGAGGUGCAGGAGGAGGAGGAGCCGGAGGCGGCGGCUAUAACAGCUACGGGGACACGCAAGGUACUGCUUUGCAGCAUGAGGGCGCCGGGAGGGUGUGGCGGGUGUGGAGUGGGUCCCGAGUUCCCAGCCGCCCGCUGCCCCGCACCCUGAAGCUGUCGGCCAGGGACUUGGGGGCCUCUCUGUGCCGGGGUGUGAGGGGGCAGAGAAUGUAACUGGGAGCCAACAGCCCGGGACCAAGAUGCUCGGUAGGAAGAGGCCAGCCAGCCGCCUGCCUCCCUUGGGCUGGGGAGCCCGAUAGCCCGCUGGAAAAG